rnacentral:rRNA from 1 species
UCCAGACUCCUACGGGAGGCAGCAGUGGGGAAUAUUGGUCAAUGGCCGAGAGGCUGAACCAGCCAAGUCGCGUGAGGGAUUAAGGCCCUAUGGGUCGUAAACCUCUUUUGUCAGGGAGCAAUGGCGUCCACGUGUGGGCGUAUGGAGAGUACCUGAAGAAAAAGCAUCGGCUAACUCCGUGCCAGCAGCCGCGGUAAUACGGAGGAUGCGAGCGUUAUCCGGAUUUAUUGGGUUUAAAGGGUGCGUAGGCGGGACCUUAAGUCAGCGGUAAAAUUGCGGUGCUCAACGCCGUAGAGCCGUUGAAACUGGCAGUCUCGAGUUGGAGAGAAGUAUGCGGAAUGCGCGGUGUAGCGGUGAAAUGCAUAGAUAUCGCGCAGAACUCCGAUUGCGAAGGCAGCAUGCCGGCUCCACACUGACGCUGAGGCACGAAAGCGUGGGUAUCGAACAGGAUUAGAUACCCCUGUA